rnacentral:lncRNA from 1 species
GAAUACUCUAUGCAAAGAAGGCAUUUCAUUGCAAUAUCGCUCUGUGGUCAGCUAUGUUCUAAGGUAUACUUUGAAUGAAAAAUGCGAUGAUUUACUUCACGAGGUUAUUUUAAGCUUGGGUUAUUUUUGUGUGCUUCACGAAGAAAAUCAGCUCUUCUUGCAAACAGGUCGAGCACCUUCUCUUGGUCAGCAGCUUUGCACAUUACCAUUUUCUUAUUUCAGUGAUCCAAAGUUGACUACAAUUUUAUUUCCGACACUCAUCUGUUUGUGCUACAAAAGUUGUGAAAACAAAGCAAUAAUUUCUCAAGAUGUUUCUCCUUCUCUACUAGCAUUAUUUUUGCAGGAAAAAAUUAAUGAAAAAAGACCUGAAAUGGUUGGCAACAAUAAAACAGUGGAAGAUAUAGAACAGAGGUCAAAACUUGAUUUUCGAUUUCCAAGAGAACUAUGGGAAGAAGCUAAAUUGUAUUUAUCUGAAACAAAAUAAAAAUAUUUAAUUAGUAUUAUCCACAAAGUUUAAAAAUGUUCUUUUAUUCUUCAUAGUAUUAAAAAUGAAAAACUAUAUAAAAUAUAACUGAUAAUUUUAUAAAUGUAAUUUAUUGUCUAUACAGUUAGAGUUGUUAUGUAUGAAAGUUAGAGUUGUUAUGUAUGAAAGUUUAUACAAACUUUUUAUAUUUAUUCGAAUUUUGGAUUUCAUUCAU